AACUUCUCUUUAGUUUUGAUAGUUUUCUUUUUGGCUGGUGCCGGCGUUAAUCCAACGUCGGUACCGUGCUAUAUAUGUUUUCCGGAUCGUUGUAUAGUAUUGUUUGGUUUUAAGUUUCCGGUUUUUCCGGAUCUUUUGUUUCCAUUAAUCGGAUAGUAAUCUCCGGCGUAAACCGGUAAUAAAUUCCGACUUGUUCGAAUUUAUUUUUUAGUUUCCUCCUUUUGCUU
rnacentral:lncRNA from 1 species